AUUGAACGCUGGCGGCAUGCUUUACACAUGCAAGUCGAACGGUAACAGGCCGCAAGGUGCUGACGAGUGGCGAACGGGUGAGUAAUGCAUCGGAACGUGCCCAGUCGUGGGGGAUAACUACUCGAAAGAGUAGCUAAUACCGCAUACGAUCUAUGGAUGAAAGCGGGGGACCGUAAGGCCUCGCGCGAUUGGAGCGGCCGAUGUCAGAUUAGGUAGUUGGUGGGGUAAAGGCUCACCAAGCCAACGAUCUGUAGCUGGUCUGAGAGGACAACCAGCCACACUGGGACUGAGACACGGCCCAGACUCCUACGGGAGGCAGCAGUGGGGAAUUUUGGACAAUGGGCGCAAGCCUGAUCCAGCAAUGCCGCGUGCAGGAAGAAGGCCUUCGGGUUGUAAACUGCUUUUGUACGGAACGAAACGGCUCUGGUUAAUACCCAGGGCUAAUGACGGUACCGUAAGAAUAAGCACCGGCUAACUACGUG
rnacentral:rRNA from 1 species